rnacentral:rRNA from 1 species
AUUGAACGCUGGCGGCAGGCCUAACACAUGCAAGUCGAGCGGAGCGGCGGACGGGUGAGUAAUGCCUAGGAAUCUGCCUGGUAGUGGGGGAUAACGUCCGGAAACGGGAGCUAAUACCGCAUACUAUCAGAUGAGCCUAGGUCGGAUUAGCUAGUAGGUGGGGUAACGGCUCACCUAGGCGACGGUCCCUAGCUGGUCUGAGAGGAUGACCAGCCAAAACGGAAAUGUGACACGGUCCAGAAUCCUAAGGGAGGCAGGAGUGGGGAAUAUUGCAAAAUGGGCGGAAGCCUGAAUGAGCCAUGCCGCGGGUGUGAAGAAGGCCUUCGGGGUGGAAAACAAUUUCAGCGGGGAGGCGUUACCCGCAGAAGAAGCACCGGCUAACUCCGUGCCAGCAGCCGCGGUAAUAC